rnacentral:rRNA from 1 species
UACGUAGGGGCCAAGCGUUGUCCGGAUUUAUUGGGCGUAAAGAGCUCGUAGGCGGUUUGUCGCGUCUGCCGUGAAAGUCCGGGGCUCAACUCCGGAUCUGCGGUGGGUACGGGCAGACUAGAGUGAUGUAGGGGAGACUGGAAUUCCUGGUGUAGCGGUGAAAUGCGCAGAUAUCAAGAGGAACACCUGCGGCGAAGGCGGGUUGCUGGGCCGACACUGACGCUGAGGCGCGAAAGCUAGGGGAGCGAACGGG